GUCGAACGGUAACAGGUUAAGCUGACGAGUGGCGAACGGGUGAGUAAUGUAUCGGAACGUGCCCAGUCGUGGGGGAUAACUGCUCGAAAGAGCAGCUAAUACCGCAUACGACCUGAGGGUGAAAGCGGGGGAUCGCAAGACCUCGCGCGAUUGGAGCGGCCGAUAUCAGAUUAGGUAGUUGGUGAGGUAAAGGCUCACCAAGCCGACGAUCUGUAGCUGGUCUGAGAGGACGACUAGCCACACUGGGACUGAGACACGGCCCAGACUCCUACGGGAGGCAGCAGUGGGGAAUUUUGGACAAUGGGCGCAAGCCUGAUCCAGCCAUGCCGCGUGCGGGAAGAAGGCCUUCGGGUUGUAAACCGCUUUUGUCAGGGAAGAAAAGGUUCUGGCUAAUACCUGGGACUCAUGACGGUACCUGAAGAAUAAGCACCGGCUAACUACGUGCCAGCAGCCGCGGUAAUACGUAGGGUGCAAGCGUUAAUCGGAAUUACUGGGCGUAAAGCGUGCGCAGGCGGUUAUGCAAGACAGAGGUGAAAUCCCCGGGCUCAACCUGGGAACCGCCUUUGUGACUGCAUGGCUAGAGUACGGUAGAGGGGGAUGGAAUUCCGCGUGUAGCAGUGAAAUGCGUAGACAUGCGGAGGAACACCGAUGGCGAAGGCAAUCCCCUGGACCUGUACUGACGCUCAUGCACGAAAGCGUGGGGAGCAAACAGGAUUAGAUAUCCUG
rnacentral:rRNA from 1 species